rnacentral:rRNA from 1 species
CAAGGAAUUUUCCCCAAUGGGCGCAAGCCUGAGGGAGCAACGCCGCGUGGGGGAGGACGCCCUUCGGGGUGUAAACCCCUUUUCCUGGGGAGGAAGCACUGACCGUACCCGGGGAAGAAGGCCCGGCUAACUACGUGCCAGCAGCCGCGGUAACACGUAGGGGUCGAGCGUUGUCCGGAAUUACUGGGCGUAAAGCGCGCGCAGGUGGCGGUGCGCGCCCGGCGUGAAAGCCCCCGGCUCAACCGGGGAAGGUCGUCGGGGACGGCAUCGCUUGAGGGGGGCAGAGGUCGGUGGAAUGCCUGGUGUAGUGGUGAAAUGCGUAGAGAUCAGGCGGAACACCCGUGGCGAAGGCGGCCGACUGGGCCGACCCUGACACUGAGGCGCGAAGGCGUGGGGAGCGAACGGGAUUAGAUACCCCCGUAGUCC